rnacentral:misc_RNA from 1 species
CGCCGCUGCCGCUGCUACCACCGUCGAUUUCCGGCCAUAAUGGCCGCCGCCACGACUGCCAUUGGCUCUUGUUUUUCUGCCGCCAUUACCCCAUACAUCCGGUCCAAGCUCGUCGUCUCGGAUACCUUUCUUCUCAAGGUUACCAGCUCUAGAGCAGCCCGGGUCUUGGCAACAGCCCACCAUGCAUGGAUGGCCGUCCCAUUCUAUG